CCCACCGGCUCGCGGCUUAAGACAGUCAAAUGUCAAGGUGGAGAAUGUUGUCAGAAAUGACAGUAACACAUUGCAACAUGACAGCGAGAAAAAGGAUCUCCGAAAAGCAAUUGAAUUGAUACCAGCACCAGUCGUUGAGAUUUAURGCGAAAAUGACACGAAAAGCUCCGAACCAAACACUCAUUGGACUCUGCGUCAAAAGUCAAAGUCAAGCGAGUACAUACAUUUCGACAUCAACGAAGAGGAUGGUAG